UCUGUCCCUCAAGGAGAUGCAGGAAUGGCUGCUGUGUUACAUGUUUAUCAGUAGGUAGCAGAAAGAAAAGAGUCUAUGUCUACAUUCAGGGGUUGGACCUAGGAACAUCUCAAUGAUUAGCAGUCUAAUAUC